CGUAUUCAAUAGAGGGCAGCAUGAAGACCAUGGCAGAGAGCUCAUUCGCUGGGGUGUGGCUUGAAGGUUAGGUAAGAACUAACCUGAGAAAGGUGACUGAAUACAGAACAGACUAGCUAACCCAGUGGCAGUGUUGCCUGAGAAGGUGGACCCAGAACAGGGGAGAGCAGGAAGAGAUAGCUUUAUUCAGAGCAAGGAGACAGGACAGCAGCCUGCGUCAUUCAGUCUGAAGUCAGGUAGAAUCUCGUCACCAUGGCAACUUGCUCAGUAGAAUACACACUUGGAAAAAAUAAUCACAAUUUAAAAAUGGUGCGAAUCUGAGCGGCGGACAAAGAGGGACAGGAAACAAAGAGUGGCCACCAAGGCACAGCCUCUCAGGCAACACAUGCUAACUUGCAUCACCCUAGGUCUGGAACCAUGAGUGGAAUCUUCACCUCCUGUAAUAAACAUGGAAAGAAAAGAGGUUAAAGGCCUACCUUUUCUCAAUCCCCUUGCUACCAGAAUAGUCAUAUGACUACAUACCAGUCAAUGGAAUAUGGAUGGAGUAAUGGACCCCCAAAUUGUAUCCUGAGAAGAAAGGGAGCAGCCUCUACAUUCCCUGCCCUUUCCCCGCUCAUCUGAACGUAAGGCAGAGACUUGGCAAUCCACAUUUGACCUUGCCGACCCCCACAGACCUACAGUAGAGCAGCAAGGUGGAAGGACCCCAGAACCUGACAUCAGACAGCUGCCAGGCCAACCCUAGACUGUUCCCCUCCAGAUUGUUAUAUGAGGAAGAAAUUAGAUUCUCUCUCGCUUAAGCCAUGAUCAUCUGAUUCCCUGCAAUAGCAGUCAACCUGUAACCCAAUAGAAUCUGGAAUUACCAUA
rnacentral:sRNA from 1 species